rnacentral:rRNA from 1 species
UUCUGUUUACUACGAUAAUGGCACUAAAUUCCAUCUGACCUUGUUACCUAAGCAGAGUCAGCUCUGGUUAGUACCUGGAUGGGGGACUGCCAGUGAAUACCAGGUGCUGCAGGCU